rnacentral:misc_RNA from 1 species
AGAAGAUUAUGUUUGGCGCCUCUAGCACAUGGCUGCCAUUAACCCACCCAGUACACCCACCAUCUCCGCCAUAUCUCCUUUAUUUUCCUCUCCAAAUCCAUUUCGCUUGCCUUCAAAAUCAACUAUUUUCCAUCAUCUGUCACUCGCUCCACCUUCUUUCUUUAAUCCAAAACUUCGUCAGAAACACCGCUCUCGCUUCUCCACCUCCACCGAACAAUCCCUCCUUUCGCCAGACCCUACUGUGUCUAAGCUGCAAAACACUCAACCC